UACAGAGGGUGCAAGCGUUGCUCGGAUUUACUGGGCGUAAAGCGUACGCAGACGGUAAGGAAGGUCGGAUGUGAAAGCCCCGGGCUCAACCCUGGAACUGCAUUCGAAACCCCCUUGCUAGAGUAUGGGAGAGGGAAGCGGAAUUCCUGGUGUAGAGGUGAAAUUCGUAGAUAUCAGGAGGAACGCCGGCGGCGAAGGCGGCUUCCUGGCCCAUUACUGACGUUCAGGUACGAAAGCGUGGGUAGCAAACAGG
rnacentral:rRNA from 1 species